AAGGAAUUGAAAUGAGGAGAGCGCUGCAGCACUGGUUACACUUUCUGGUUGUUGUUAGUAAAUGCUCCACAGAUCCCCGGGGAAUCACAGACAGAAGUAUGACAACAGGCAUAACGGUCUGAUGACAGACCUCUUUUCCUCCCUUCUGAAUGUUGAUGUUAGAAGCAGCAGCUAAAAUACUACAGACUUUUGCUGAUAUAGGCAAGACUGGAGACAUCUGGCUCAGAGAGGCAAUUUGAAUGAAUCUGCCAGAAAGCAUUUUUACAAUUAUAUGGAAAUGCCCUUGAAGUAGUUUUAUUGUACAAAGGGAAAAUAUACUUAUAUGAAGAACU
rnacentral:lncRNA from 1 species